rnacentral:rRNA from 1 species
CCUACGGGGGGCUGCAGUAGGGAAUAUUAGAAAUGGACGAAAGUCUGAUCUAGCAACACCGCGUGUGAGAAGAAGGCCUUCGGGUCGUAAAGCACUUUUUGGAAGGAAUAGGAAGGAAUGUACUUCCAGAAUAAGUCUCGGCUAACUACGUGCCAGCAGCCGCGGUAACACGUAGGAGGCAAACGUUAUCCGGAUUUACUGGGCGUAAAGCGCGUGUAGGCGGUUUGAUAAGUUGGAUGUGAAAGCUCCUGGCUUAACUGGGAGAGGUCGUUCAAAACUAUCAGACUUGAGAGUGGUAGAGGGAGGUGGAAUUCCGCAUGUAGUGGUGAAAUGCGUAGAUAUGCGGAGGAACACCAGUGGCGAAAGCGGCCUCCUGGCCCAUUUCUGACGCUCAGACACGAAAGCUAAGGUAGCAAACGGGAUUAGAU